AUGCGAUACGUAAUGUGAAUUGCAGAAUCCAGUGAAUCAUCGAAUCUUUGAACGCACAUUGCGCCCGCCAGUAUUCUGGCGGGCAUGCCUGUCCGAGCGUCAUUUCAACCAUCAAGCCUAGUGCUUGUGUUGGGGCCCCGCGGCUGCCGCGGGCCCUGAAAACCAGUGGCGGGCUCGAAGUCGAACCGAGUGCAGUAAAUUUCUUCGCUUGGGAAGGUGACGAGUUCCGGCCGUAAAAAGCCCAACUUUAUCAAGGUUGACCUCGGAUCAGGUAGGACUACCCGCUGAACUUAA
rnacentral:misc_RNA from 1 species